rnacentral:lncRNA from 1 species
CAUAUAUUGAAAUAUAAUUAUAUAUGUUUUACAAAAAAAUGAAUGAAAAAAGAAAAAAAAUUACAAGAAUCCAAUUUAAUUUUUCAUAGAAAAUAGAGAUAAAUAAUAAGAGAGAGAAAGAAAGAUAAAUGUAAUAUAAUCAAUAGAAAAAAAUAUGUUCAUAGAAGGUUAAAGGAAAGAGAGAUUGAAAAAUAAAAUACCUCAAAAUCUCGUGAUUAAUGUGAAACAAAUUUUAAGAUUUUAUGUGAGUACUUCUGCUUAAAGGUUAAUACUCUAGAGACUUUUAUAAAAGUCCCUAGAAGUCAUUAAAAUUUGAAUACCCCAAGACUUAUAGAGAUUUCUAAAAAAUUUUAAUUGAAUAUACCGUAACAGUUUUUAAAAGUCUAUAAAAGCCUCAAUUGAAUACCUCUAAACUUACAAGGUUUUUUUUUUUUUGUCAUGCUACUUUAAACCAUUUUGUUAAAAUAAUUAGAAUUAAUUUGAGUAGUCCGUGAUCUUUUAUACCAGGCAAAACUAAAGUAAGCGAAAGUAGGCUAUGAAUUAUUGAAUAAAUGAUGUAAAACACUAAUAGGAAAAAACAAGAGGCUACAAAAAUGACACAAAAACAACAAUUGAAGUUCUCAUCCUUAGAACUUUAAACUAAUGUAAUCGGGUGCCUAACACGAACAACUUUAAUCUAACAAGUAACUAGCUAAAAUGUGCCGAGUUGAGUAAUUAACUCUUUAUUUAAUCUCCUAAGACAUUCACAACCUAAUAUAAAAGAAAAUCAUUAAAUCAUUGCUUAUAUUUAGUUAAGAAUACAUUUGUGACGAAAAGUUCAAUACAAUUAAUACCAAAUGUUCAUAUGAAGAACUGAAAAUAGAUAAGAAAAUAGACAAGUAAGUUCAUUUGAACUAACACACGAAUAUCUUUCACGUUUAUGAAUGGAUUUUUCUAAAACUUACAUACAUUUAUUUUUAACAUUAACCAAUUAAUGUGCAAGGCACGUUAACCACACUAGUAGACAUAAAUAAGUGUACAUAUUUUACACUAUUGUAUAUCUUUCUGCAGUCCUAGAAUCUAACUGUCUUUCUGCUGAAAAAUCUCAACUUUCUUGAUGGAAACUACUGGGUUUUCUUCUCCGAGACCAGAUGCUUUUCCGACACGUCUUAGGGUUCUUGUUGUUGAUGAUGAUCCCACCUGGUUGAAGAUUCUUGAGAAGAUGCUCAAGAAGUGUUCGUAUCAAGGUUCUCUUAGAAUAAAUUUAUCAAUUUUUUUUAGUGAUUCUAAUAUUAUUUUUAUUGCAUGGUUUAUCAGUGCAAUUAUCUUCUUUUUUCAUGUGGUCAAUUAUCUUCUUGACAUAUUAGUUCAUAGUUAAUUUUCACUUUUUUGUUCUUUUGAUUUUUGGAGGGAUUUUAUUUUUGUGUUAUACAGAGGUUUUGAGUUGGUUUGUGGGACAUUUUAUCUGAGAUUUUUAUUUUUUUUAUGUUUGGUAUUUUGCAAGAAAAAUAUGCUAAAAUCUUAUUUAUUAUAUUGUCUUGUCCUAUCCAGUACUAUAUACUGAAAAACAGUUCACAUACUAAUUUUUUGUGAGAGCUUGAAGUCUGCAACUAUGACUUGCUUGGUUUUGGAAUUGAAUUUUCAUUUUUUUCCCCUUUUUUUUAUGUGUUUUCGCUCAAAAGUUAUAUAUCUUGGUUAUAGUAUGAUGGUUCCUGGUGAAGUUCAGUGAUGAGAUAUAAAGUUUUGAGUUUAAUCCUUGUGCAAUUGUGUAAUGAUACCAAAUGUAUGCCUUAUUGAUUUGUUGAUUUAAUUUGAAAAAGAAAGUUUCCAUAUCUCUUUCCAAUUUUGUCUCGAUUAGUUCACAAUAUUGAAUAACAGAUUUUUCCAUUCGGUUUCCUUUUUCCUUUAGUUUCACAAUUUUGUUCCCUUUUUUGUCAACCCUAAGCUCACCCGCUCCCUCAACUUCUAAUGUACAGAAUCUCGAACUGGAAUUCUGUACAACCCAGCAGUGACCACCCAGAAGUCAAAGCACCGCCGACGAGGACCACCGAUUUUUUGACACGGUUUGCCUUUUCCUUUAGUUUCGAAUUUUUUUUUUUAGUUUUCUAUAUUUUUUCGUUCAGUCAAUCACAAAUUAAAGAGGACAAUGUUGCAAGUUGAUAUUCAUGUUCCGAACUAAGAGGAAAUAUUUGUUGUUGCUUUUGACAGUGAAAAGAUACUCAAUAUCUAGUGCCACUAUUCUUUUCAAGUUUCACUGCGCGUAAUGAAUAUCCAAGGUUUACGCUUUUGUCUUCUCUCUGUCCAAUUCUAAAUUCUGUUUUUGGCGAGAAAUAAAAAAACUUAACCGAAUUAUGGGGAAGAUAACGAGGUUGAUUACUGGUGGGGUGCAGUACAAUGAAGUGGGUGUUGGUUUAUGUGAAUUUUUUUUUUGUUAUGAGACAUUGGAUGCACAAUCUUCUCUCCUGUCCAAUUCCAAAAUUCAAUUGUUGUGUUAUGAGACAUUGGAUUGGUUUCCUAAUUAAUUAAUGGUAUAUUUUAUCACGUGAUUGUGAAUUUCUGAGACGAGCAAGAUUGAACUUGGGAAAAAAGAUGAUGCAGUUUCUACACUUGUGUCUUUUGACUUUUCUCCUAUCCAAUUCCAAAUUCAUUUUUGGCGUUACGAGACAUUGUAUGCAUAAUGUUAACCUCUGUCGAAAGUCCUAUUCCGAAU